rnacentral:lncRNA from 1 species
GGUGGCCCUGUGGGUGGGUGGGGUUGGCUCUCUUGGGGGGUGCGGCAUUCUGUGUCCGUUGGAGGUGUGCUGCAGUAGGAAGCAGUGUGGAGUGAGGCAGGUGGGCUCGAGCCUGAGUGAUGGAUGCGGUGGGUCGGGGUCAAAGGUGGCUGGGGCCGUUGGGUUGGACCAAUGGUGAUGUCUGGGUCUGUUCAGGGCUUCUCCUGGUGCCGUGAUCGAGUUGUUGUUUUGUCCAGGUGUGGUGUUGACCAUUUGGCUAGUGCCUUUUCUGGGUUAUGGGUUGGGGCUCCCCGUUUCUCUAUGAUUGACCUUAGUCUGGGGGGUUGCUUAUGUGUUUUGGCGUGGGCAGGGAGGCGGGGAG